rnacentral:lncRNA from 1 species
AUGUGCCAGUUCUGGUAAAUUUCCUAGCAAGCUUGAAGGAAGUGAAGGACAACUGCAAGGAAGGGCAGGAUGGAGCAUGCAGCCCACGUAUUCCCCAGCUUGGUGGGGCAGAAUGCGUUCUUGGCUCCUGAGGAAUGGGCAGGCAACGCACAGGGGUCCUGGGAAGAAAGGGAGAGAAUAUCCUGGGAGAGCCAUAGACCCUGGCACCCUCCUGUGGUCCUUCAUCAGGAUAAAUUUCUAAAAGAAGAAUUACUGGCCAAAGGAUUCCUCUUCAGUUGGAAACAGCAGCAAAGUUCACAGGUCGUGAGUGGAUGUAAAGUGGACGGAACAGGUUGUUGCCAGUCUAUUGGAGUAGGAUGGUAGAUGAGCAGUCCCGUUGGCUAACAGCUUGUUGGAAUUUAAAUACGACCAAUCAAAAUGUGUUUAGGCUUCAAAGGAAAAAGUUCUCCAUAAAUACACCAGAAUUUCAUUCUAACAUGAUUCAUUCAUUCAAAGAGCACAGCUGCACAAG